UAGAUGCGAGAGUAGAGCAUAUCAAUAAGCGGAGGAAAAGAAACUAACAAGGAUUCCCUUAGUAACGGCGAGUGAAGCGGGAAGAGCUCAAAUUUGAAAUCUUCAAGGUUCUACCUUGACGAAUUGUAGUUUAAAGAAGUGUUUUCUGUUAGAUGAGUAGCAAAAGUUCCUUGGAAUGGGACAUCAUAGAGGGUGAGAAUCCCGUAUUUAGUUAUUCAUUCUAGCUUUGUGAUACACUUUCAAAGAGUCGGAUUGUUUGGGAAUGCAGUCCAAAAUGGGUGGUAAAUUUCAUCUAAAGCUAAAUAUUGGCGAGAGACCGAUAGCGAACAAGUACCGUGAGGGAAAGAUGAAAAGAACUUUGAAAAGAGAGUUAAACAGUACGUGAAAUUGUCAAAAGGGAAGCGUUUGACACCAGUGUUGUUUUUCCGAAAAUCAAUUACGAAUGGCUUGAUUUUGUGUUGUAUUGACCUUAUCAGCUUUCUGCACUUUUUUCGAGUCUUUCUUAAUGCACUUUUCGGUUAACAAGUCAACAUCAAUUUCUUUUGUUGUAAAAGAGUAUUCGGAAGGUGGCUUUCUUUUCGGAGAAAGUGUUUAUAGCCCUAUACUUCUACAAUCGGAGAGAUUGAGGUCUGCAGCGUAGAUCCUUCGGGGUUAGAUACAUUUGUGCUAAGUUGUAGCUUUUCAUAGACAACUUGUUGACUAUGUUUAGUCAUGCGGCUUACUCGCUUAUGCUAUUUUACCUACGCUUAGGAUGUUGAGCGCAUGUCUCUCUCU
rnacentral:rRNA from 1 species